CUAUAGCUUGGUAAUAUCAGGGUCCAGCAAUAAAAAACCCCGAAUUCGGGGUUUUUUAUUAUCUGCGCACUUAGAUUGGCUCUUUUUUAGCAAAUUUAACGUGUUUUGUGGAUAAUGCAUGGUGUUUGAAUUGGGCUUUAUGCCCUUUUUUU
rfam:Vibrio rumoiensis 1S-45 1S-45_contig_26, whole genome shotgun sequence.